UUAGAGUUUGAUCCUGGCUCAGGACGAACGCUGGCGGCGUGCUUAACACAUGCAAGUGGAGCGACGAACCAGGGCUUGCCCUGGGGCAGAGCCGCGAACGGGUGAGUAACACGUGGGUAACCUGCCCUGAUGAUUGGGACAACCCCGGGAAACCGGGGCUAAUACCAAAUGUGCUCAUGACCUCCAAGGGUUAUGAGGAAAGGAAGCUUCGGCCUCCGCAUCGGGAUGGGCCCGCGGCGCAUUAGCUUGUUGGUGGGGUAACGGCCUACCAAGGCGACGAUGCGUAGCUGGUCUGAGAGGACGAUCAGCCACACUGGGACUGAGACACGGCCCAGACUCCUACGGGAGGCAGCAGUGGGGAAUCUUGCGCAAUGCGCGAAAGCGUGACGCAGCAACGCCGCGUGCGGGAAGACGGCCUUCGGGUUGUAAACCGCUUUCAGUUGGGACGAAGGUUCAUGGGUUAAUAGCCAGAUGGACUGACGGUACCUUCACAAGAAGCCCCGGCUAACUACGUGCCAGCAGCCGCGGUAAU
rnacentral:rRNA from 1 species